rnacentral:lncRNA from 1 species
UGCAAGUCCUGGAGUGGAAUGGUGUUCUUCUGACAGGGAAAACCUAUGAAGAGGUACAAGGGCUUGUUGGACAGCCAUGUAAUGAGGCAGAAGUCUGUGUUAGACUGGAUCUCAACAUGCUAGCUGAGUCUGAGGGUUCCCAGCACUUGGAUUUCCAGGAGCACAGUAAAGGUGACAGACCUCCCAGGUCUCCAGGUGUUGACCCCAAGCAGCUGGCAGCUGAGCUGCAGAAGGUGUC